GACGAACGCUGGCGGCGUGCCUAAUACAUGCAAGUUGAGCGCUGAAGGUUGGUACUUGUACCAACUGGAUGAGCAGCGAACGGGUGAGUAACGCGUGGGGAAUCUGCCUUUGAGCGGGGGACAACAUUUGGAAACGAAUGCUAAUACCGCAUAAAAACUUUAAACACAAGUUUUAAGUUUGAAAGAUGCAAUUGCAUCACUCAAAGAUGAUCCCGCGUUGUAUUAGCUAGUUGGUGGGGUAAAGGCUCACCAAGGCGAUGAUACAUAGCCGACCUGAGAGGGUGAUCGGCCACAUUGGGACUGAGACACGGCCCAAACUCCUACGGGAGGCAGCAGUAGGGAAUCUUCGGCAAUAGACGAAAGUCUGACCGAGCAACGCCGCGUGAGUGAAGAAGGUUUUCGGAUCGUAAAACUCUGUUGGUAGAGAAGAACGUUGGUGAGAGUGGAAAGCUCAUCAAGUGACGGUAACUACCCAGAAAGGGACGGCUAACUACGUG
rnacentral:rRNA from 1 species